AGUCGAGCGGACUUUAAAAGCUUGCUUUUAAAGUUAGCGGCGGACGGGUGAGUAACACGUGGGCAACCUGCCUGUAAGACUGGGAUAACUUCGGGAAACCGGAGCUAAUACCGGAUAAUUCUUUCCACCAUCAUGGAUGGAAAGCUGAAAGACGGCAUCUCGCUGUCACUUACAGAUGGGCCCGCGGCGCAUUAGCUAGUUGGUGAGGUAACGGCUCACCAAGGCAACGAUGCGUAGCCGACCUGAGAGGGUGAUCGGCCACACUGGGACUGAGACACGGCCCAGACUCCUACGGGAGGCAGCAGU
rnacentral:rRNA from 1 species